UUUUAUGGAGAGUUUGAUCCUGGCUCAGGAUGAACGCUGGCGGCGUGCCUAAUACAUGCAAGUCGAGCGAACGGACGAGAAGCUUGCUUCUCUGAUGUUAGCGGCGGACGGGUGAGUAACACGUGGAUAACCUACCUAUAAGACUGGGAUAACUUCGGGAAACCGGAGCUAAUACCGGAUAAUAUUUUGAACCGCAUGGUUCAAAAGUGAAAGACGGUCUUGCUGUCACUUAUAGAUGGAUCCGCGCUGCAUUAGCUAGUUGGUAAGGUAACGGCUUACCAAGGCAACGAUGCAUAGCCGACCUGAGAGGGUGAUCGGCCACACUGGAACUGAGACACGGUCCAGACUCCUACGGGAGGCAGCAGUAGGGAAUCUUCCGCAAUGGGCGAAAGCCUGACGGAGCAACGCCGCGUGAGUGAUGAAGGUCUUCGGAUCGUAAAACUCUGUUAUUAGGGAAGAACAUAUGUGUAAGUAACUGUGCACAUCUUGACGGUACCUAAUCAGAAAGCCACGGCUAACUACGUGCCAGCAGCCGCGGUAAUACGUAGGUGGCAAGCGUUAUCCGGAAUUAUUGGGCGUAAAGCGCGCGUAGGCGGUUUUUUAAGUCUGAUGUGAAAGCCCACGGCUCAACCGUGGAGGGUCAUUGGAAACUGGAAAACUUGAGUGCAGAAGA
rnacentral:rRNA from 1 species